GAUGAACGCUGGCGGCGUGCCUAAUACAUGCCAGUCGAGCGAACAGAUGAGGAGCUUGCUCCUCUGACGUUAGCGGCGGACGGGUGAGUAACACGUGGAUAACCUACCUAUAAGACUGGGAUAACUUCGGGAAACCGGAGCUAAUACCGGAUAAUAUAUUGAACCGCAUGGUUCAAUAGUGAAAGACGGUUUUGCUGUCACUUAUAGAUGGAUCCGCGCCGCAUUAGCUAGUUGGUAAGGUAACGGCUUACCAAGGCAACGAUGCGUAGCUGACCUGAGAGGGUGAUCGGCCACACUGGAACUGAGACACGGUCCAGACUCCUACGGGAGGCAGCAGUAGGGAAUCUUCCGCAAUGGGCGAAAGCCUGACGGAGCAACGCCGCGUGAGUGAUGAAGGUCUUCGGAUCGUAAAACUCUGUUAUUAGGGAAGAACAAAUGUGUAAGUAACUAUGCACGUCUUGACGGUACCUAAUCAGAAAGCCACGGCUAGCUACGUG
rnacentral:rRNA from 1 species